AACCUGGUUGAUCCUGCCAGUAGUCAUAUGCUUGUCUUAAAGAUUAAGCCAUGCAUGUCUAAGUAUAAGCAUUUAUACCGCGAGACUGCGAACGGCUCAUUAAAACAGUUAUGGUUUAUUUGAUGGUUCCUUUGCUACUUGGAUAACCGUAGUAAUUCUAGAGCUAAUACACGCACGAAGGGGCGACUUACGAAGCCCUGUAUUUAUUAGAUUAAAGCCAACCACCUCCGGGUGUCCGUGGUGAAUCAUAGUAACUUAUCGGAUCGCCGGCUCUAUGCCAGCGACGUGUCAUUCAAAUUUCUGCCCUAUCAGCUUUAGAUGGUAGGAUAUGGGCCUACCAUGGCGGUGACGGGUAACGGAGAAUUAGGGUUCGAUUCCGGAGAGGGAGCCUGAGAAACGGCUACCACUUCUAAGGAAGGCAGCAGGCGCGCAAAUUACCCAAUCCUGACUCAGGGAGGUAGUGACAAGAAAUAACAAUAAACCGGCUUAUGCCGGUUUAAUUGGAAUGAGUACAAUUUAAACAUCUUAACGAGGAACAAUUGGAGGGCAAGUCUGGUGCCAGCAGCCGCGGUAAUUCCAGCUCCAAUAGC
rnacentral:rRNA from 1 species